UUCCCCGUCUUGACUUCUGUCGAAAUAAAAUGGAAUCCGCCAUCUUGGUUAAUUCGUAUCUCUUUUGUGUAGUGGUCGUCAUUAAUUGAAGUUUUUAGUGAUAUUUUAUUGAGUUCAGUCUUGAAUUAAUGUGAAAUGUGUUCCUUAUUAUUUUUAUCAACUAGUGUGAACAUAGAAAUCCAUUUCUAUCCGAUAAUUUCAAGUUAAACUUCGAAGUAAAAACAACCCAUUCUUUAGUGGGCGAAUUGCCAAGUGUAUUGAAAUGUUGGAAGCAGAAUGACCGCGCAGAGGAAUCUCACUGCUUUGAAAGAAGACCUCGACGAUUUGAGGAAGAAUGUUACUGCUCAUCUCCAAUCUGCAGCCUUGGAUUACUUCACAACUUGAUGCAUUCAUUAUACACCACCAAACUGAGUUCACUUCAGGAAAGGGAAUCGCCAGUCAACUAUACAAUACUGAGGAAUAAUCAUUCUACUUUCACCAAAUAAGCGCAUUUUUAUUUUAUGAUUUUUGCAUUCAUCUUAUUAUUUUAUGAUUUGUUCAUUUGUAAUAAAAUUUUAUUUUUGGUUUACAUCA